rnacentral:rRNA from 1 species
UACGAAGGGUGCAAGCGUUGCUCGGAAUUAUUGGGCGUAAAGCGCACGUAGGCGGCUUAGCAAGUUGGAUGUGAAAGCCCUCGGCUUAACCAAGGAAGUGCAUCCAAAACUGCUGAGCUUGAGUAGUUAAGAGGAUCGCGGAAUUCCCGGUGUAGAGGUGAAAUUCGUAGAUAUCGGGAGGAACACCAGUGGCGAAGGCGGCGAUCUGGGAACAUACUGACGCUGAGGUGCGAAAGCGUGGGGAGCAAACAGG